AAUACAUGAAUGCAGAUGGCUGUAUGCAGAAAAGUCACAGCUGUUCAACCUGGUUGCGGCUUUCUGCAAGAGAGCAGUCAGGAUGCAGGACUAAAUGGGAUGUACCUCCGCAGGCUGUGUGAUGAAGGGGAGAAAGACAUUUGCGUCCCUCCAAAGACUUCUCAAUGAGUCAGAGUUCACAGAAAUCACCUGGUGACAUCUAAGCUGCUAAGGAUGAAAGUCCAAAUGUGAAAGCAGCCUUCCUGCCUGGCGUGGGCCCACAACCUUAUAUUGGUUUUCCUAGGAGAUGCAAAGCUUUCCUGAUUUGGCUUUUCUAGCCCCAAUGAUUUCAACAUAACAGAUGCUCAGUGAAAGCAGGCAAGUAGAAAUAAAAAU